GACGAACGCUGGCGGCGUGCUUAAUACAUGCAAGUCAACUUGACUUUAGAUAGCAAUAUCGAAAAGUAGGGUGGCGCACGGGUGCGUAACGCGUAGGUAAUCUGCCCUGAGGUCUGACAUAACCCGUCGAAAGGCGGGCUAACAUCAGAUGAUAUAUAAUCACGACAUCGUGGAAAUAUCAAAUCUUCGGAGCCUUGGGAUGAGCCUGCGUCUGAUUAGGUAGUUGGCGGAGUAAUAGCCCACCAAGCCUACGAUCAGUAGCUGGUCUGAGAGGAUGAUCAGCCACACUGGAACUGAGACACGGUCCAGACUCCUACGGGAGGCAGCAGUAAGGAAUAUUGCUCAAUGGGGGGAACCCUGAAGCAGCAACGCCGCGUGAAGGAUGAAGUACUUUUGUAUGUAAACUUCUGUAAGAUGGGAAAAAUAUUCUCCUCGGGAGAAUUGAUUGUACCAUCAGAGUAAGCCCCGGCUAACUACGUGCCAGCAG
rnacentral:rRNA from 1 species